UACGGAGGAUGCAAGCGUUAUCCGGAAUGAUUGGGCGUAAAGCGUCCGCAGGUGGCUAUGUAAGUCUGCUGUUAAAGAGUGAGGCUCAACCUCAUAAGAGCAGUGGAAACUACAUAGCUAGAGUGCGUUCGGGGCAGAGGGAAUUCCUGGUGUAGCGGUGAAAUGCGUAGAUAUCAGGAAGAACACCGGUGGCGAAAGGCGCUCUGCUAGGCCGCAACUGACACUGAGGGACGAAAGCUAGGGGAGCGAAUGGG
rnacentral:rRNA from 1 species